rnacentral:rRNA from 1 species
AUUGAACGCUGGCGGCAUGCCUAACACAUGCAAGUCGAACGACCGUCGCACGGGUGAGUAACACGUAUCCAACCUGCCCUUUACUCGGGGAUAGCCUUUCGAAAGAAAGAUUAAUACCCGAUAUAAAGGAUGGGGAUGCGUUCCAUUAGGUUGUUGGUGAGGUAACGGCCCACCAAGCCUUCGAUGGAUAGGGGUUCUGAGAGGAAGGUCCCCCACAUUGGAACUGAGGCACGAUCCAAACUCCUACGAGAGGCAGCAGUGAGGAAUAGUGGUCAAGGGGCGUUAGCCUGAACCAGCCAAGUAGCGUGAAGGAUGAAGGCUUAUGGGUCGUAAACUUUUGUUAUAUAAGAAUAGGUAUUAUAUGAAUAAGGAACGGCUAACUCCGUGCCAGCAGCCGCGGUAAUUC